GCCUUUUCUUCUCCUGACACUGCAAUCCAUGUGGCAUUCAGACUUUAAUAUGGGACUAUUUCUCCGUUGGAAGGUUUCUGACAAGAAUAAUACUACUUUGCAUUUAUCCAAGCCUUCCAAAGCACAUCACCAGGAUUUUCUAAAAGCAGUAAUUUCUUAUACAAUGAAAUUACGCCAGCAGAAGAGAGGAAGCCACCUCAAUUGCACAGUUUAUCUCCAUUGAGAACUGAUCCAGCAUAUCAAGUGUCAGGUUUAAAAAACAUCCUUAAU
rnacentral:lncRNA from 1 species